rnacentral:lncRNA from 12 species
UUAACGGUAGUUCAGUUAGCCUGUAAAGAUCACGUUUUUAUUUUUAUUUUUAUUUUUAUUUUUAUUUUUAUUUUUAUUUUUAUUUUUAUUUUUUUUAAGAUGGUGUUUUUAACACGUAUGCUCUACACUUUCUUCAGUGUGAACUCUUUUUGCAAAAGAAAACCGAUGUAAGAGAUUAAAUCACUUGCCAAGGCCACAGAGUCAAGAAGUAGUGGGGCCGAGACAUGACUAUAGGUCUCUUACCACGAUACUGAUCAUCAUGAGCUUCUAGGAACAUCAGAUGUUGGAGAAUAAACAAAAGAGAAAGGCCAGCAGGAUGUAGAGUGGGACCUUAUAGGGAUGCGGUACUAUAGAAGGAGGUUUUGGGGUGAAGCUGUAGUUAUGAAUUUGGAGGAUCAGUCCCAGAUUUUGUCAGUGUACCACCACAGGGUCGUUACAGGCUUGGGAGGGCCUCUAACUCAUGGAACCCAGACGGGCUCCAGUCCAGUCCUGUUGUGUUGAGUUUCAUAGCGGAAGAGAUGGAGCACUUAUGCCCUCUUCACUGCAGGGGAAACCAAUAGCUACCGGAGUUCACAGAUUCCUCAGUCCCCAGGCCCCUAGAGGGUGAGCGUGGCUGCCUCUACUGAGGGCCAAGAAGCGUGCGGGUCGUUCUGACUCAGAGAUUCUGCCCUUUAAUUUCUCAGCCGUCUUGGAUACUUCUAUUUACGGAGGCCCCAGGCCCGCACGCCCAACCCCAGCUGCCCCAAUCCAGGUGUAUUUCCAUACAGCACACAGAGCAGAACCAACAUUCCACAUUUAUCUUAACUCUGUAGUUUCCAAGGAAACAGUACUGCAAAGACAGACACUGAAUUCCCAAUUCCGUAUCUGCCCAGGCCUGGAGUUAACCCUUCACACACAGGUAAGCAGACCGAAGGAAGCCUUGCCCCGUGCUGGCACCAGGUCAAAUGAAUCUGCUUACAGUUCCAAAGUACUAUCCCUCCUACUACAGUUUGCAGCACCAGAGAAACUGAAGUUGCUAGCAGAGAUGUUAUGAAGGAUUUGCUGGAAUCAACUUUGGAGAUCCUUGUGGCCAGCAGAGCUGAAGCUAUUGACAACAGCAUGAACAAUUCCAGGGCUCUGGACUCUUGGUCCAGUGCUUUCUCAGCCAUUUUUUACUGUCCUAAAAUAAAGUUCCUCACUCAAGCA